AAGCAGGCAGCGAUGGAGGUUCACUUCCUGAGAGAAGAGAAGACCUGUACAGAGAAGGAAGCCCACAUGCUUGAGUUGAGGGGGAAGGAUCAAACGAUCCGAAAUCAGAAGAAGGAGACGGACAGACUUCAAGUGUGCCUCUGGGAGGAGGAAAAGAAGAAGAGGAAUGGUGGAACGGAGAAGGACAAGAUCAUUGAACAACUACAGUCUGAGACAGACCAUCUCAGAGCCCUUUUAGAAGAAGAGUAGAAAGGGGUAUAAUGAAAGAGUGGAAAGCUGAGCCAGAGGGAGUCAGAGAGCCAGAGGGAGUCAGAGAGCCAGAGGGAGUCAGAGAGCCAGAGGGAGUCAGAGAGAGAGGCAGAGAGCCAGAGAGGGAGCCAGAGAGGGAGGCAGAGAGCCAGAGAGGGAGGCAGAGAGAGAGCCAGAGAGGGAGGCAGAGAGAGAGCCAGAGAGGGAGGCAGAGAGAGAGGCAGAGAGGGAGCCAGAGAGGGAGCCAGAGAGGGAGCCAGAGAGGGAGCCAGAGAGGGAGCCAGAGAGGGAGCCAGAGAGGGAGCCAGAGAGGGAGCCAGAGAGGGAGGCAGAGAGGGAGGCAGAGAGAGCCACAGAAUGGGAGGAGAACCAGAGAAAAAUGCAGAUCAACAGACUCAAACAACUGCUGGAUCUACUGAUGGUGGACCUACAACUGGCCCACUCAGAGAGAGAGAGAAGAUAAGAGGCAACGAAAAGAGAGGAGAUGGCAGAAGAGGAAAGAAGGGAGAUCCUUGAGUACAAGAGGGGUGACUUAGAGGAGAAGGAAGAGGACAAGGAGGACAUUCUCCCACCUGACAAAAGUAUCCGAAGAAGAGCUGUGGGCUGGAUAAAUAAGAAGUGGGAGAAGAGGAACCUCAGAAAGAUAGAGAGAACGUAUCAGAGAGAGGCUGAGGAGGGCUAUAAGAUCGUCCACAUAGAAGAACCAGCAGGAGGGGCCAGAGAACCAUCAGGGGGGGCCAGACAGCCAGCAUCUAGAAGCUCCAGAAGAGGUUGAAACAUCAGAGCCAACCUCCAAGAACAAGAAAAAGCCAAGCAUCUGGAAGAAAAUUAGGAUGGGUCAACAAGUGAUGAGCCAGAGCAACCAAUCAACAUCACUGCAGCUGUUCUACCCACCACCCCCACUGCUCUUCCUCCACAAGCAACCUCAUCCUCUUCUCCUGUUCAACUAAUGUGUCGCCACACUAGAAAGGACUGAACAUACAGUUGAAGUCAGAAGUUUACAUACAC